rnacentral:tmRNA from 1 species
GGGGGCGUAAUGGAUUCGACGUUGAUAAUUGAGAAAUGCCACGGCGUGUCGAGGUCUCAUCACUCGUAAACUGGUGGGGGCAAAAACUAAUUGCCAACUAUAAUUAUGAACUUGCUGCCUAAUUGAAAGGCGGCAUCACUCUUUUUGUUUUCCUCGCCGGAUGGGAAGAGUGAAAAAUUAGACGGGGCGCUUAUGGAAGGUUCUCCAGCGACCGUGAGUGUAUCAGUGGAGAUAGUUUCUGAAGGAUCCUGCUUACCGGAGACAAAGAAGCGAAUAAAUAAAAGAUAAGCUACACACGUAGAUGGGCAUUUUGAAGGUCGGCGGACGUGGGUUCAAUUCCCACCGCCUCCACCA